ACGCGUGCUCCGGGGUCGGUGCAAUUCCGAACCGGCGGUGACAGUCCGCGAGCCCCCGCUUCGGCGGGUGGUUGAUCCGGUGGAACUCCGGGACCGACGGUGAGAGUCCGGAUGGGAGGCAGCGCGC
rnacentral:ncRNA from 2 species